UGAGACAGUCAAGCAGUUGCUCUUAAUUAUUUAAGAGAGGAAAGUCCGGUCUCCAGGAGCGACAGUGCCGGGUAACNCCCGGCAGAGGUAACUCUAGGGAAAGUGCCACAGAAAAUNUACCGCCAUAUUUAUAUGGUAAGGGUGAAAAGGUGUGGUAAGAGCGCACCGUGCUUAUGGUAACAUAAGUAGCAGGGUAAACCCCACUGGGAGCAAAACCAAAUAGAGACACAUGGCUCCAGGUUGUGUCUGGGUAGGUUGCUUGAAACAAGUAGUAAUACUAGUUCUAGAUGGAUAACUGCAUAAACAGAAACCGGCUUACAGACUGUCUUAGAAC
rnacentral:RNase_P_RNA from 1 species